CUGGGCUGCGGAGACCAGACCCCGGCUCCACUGGUGGAAACCCGCCGGCUGCUGGGGCAGGGCGGCGAAAGGUCAGUCGGCCGAGAGGAGUCCGUGGAGCCACCGUUUCAUAGCCUCAGGGAAAGGAUCGGGCGUGCUCACGAGCCCUCUAACCCAUGGCUUAAACACCCGCUUCCUAAGCCUGGUUCCUGAAUAUAUCACAUGUGAUAAACAUGAAGAUGUAUGAAAAAUUGUGUUCGUUGAGAGAAAAUGGAAGGCUUUUCAUUCUACUUCCACAUUUUCAUUCCAGCAGCUUUUCUGUUUUGGAAGGUGAGUACUGAAUCUUGCAAUGAAAUUUUUUUAACUUAAACAAGACAAGGAAAAUGAAGCGCAGAGACGUUAAAUAACUCUCUCAAGGUCAUGCAGCUGAGAAGAGAUGAGACUUGAACUCCAGUGCCAGCCCUGUUAAUCACUAUUCUGUACUGUCUUUCAGAUGGAAUGAUAGGGUACGCAUAAAUGUUCAUGUGGGCUCUGGAGUAUACCAGGAACUGAAGUAAGGUACAUGGACGUCUUGAAUAUUGUAACUGAGAUGGGCAAGCCUACACCUUUGCAAAUAAAGGAGGAUUGGGAAAGAUUAAGAUCCUAUUCAAACGUCAGUGUUACUAUUUAGCCUUUGAUAUCUCCAUUAAAGGCAACUUCUUUCUGGACCCAGAAAUAAAGCUUUACAUUAGUAGCCUCCAUAACACCAAUAACAUGAAUGACCAUCUACUGAGCAAUUGCAGUGCACCAGGAUUAUGGUUUAUGAGCACUUUAU
rnacentral:antisense_RNA from 1 species